GUGAAAAGGUUCUGAACCCUGGCAGAGGUGAAGCUCUAAGGAGCAAAUCUCCUUGGGGUGGUUAAUUUUACAUGUCAACUUGACUGGGUCAUGGGGUGUCCAGAUAGUUGGCUUACUUCUGGGUGCAUCUGUGAGGGUGCUUCUGGAUGAUGUUGGUGUUUGAAUUGGUGGCUGAGUAAAGCAGACAGCCCUCUCCAGGGUGGGUGGCACCAUCCAAUCUGUCAGGGGCCUGAAUAGAACAAACAGGCAGAGGAAGGCUGAGUUUGUCCUCUGCCUGGAUGCCUGAGUUGCAACAUUUGUCUUCUCCUGCUCUCAGACUGGGACCAUAGGCUCCCCUGGUCCUUAGGCCUUCAGACUUGGACUGAACGACACCACUGACUUUCCCAGGUCUCCAGCUUGCAGAUGGCAGGAAGAGGUUCUUCCCAGCCUCCACAGUCAUGCCUGCCCAGCUGCUUUAGUGAUUCCGGGUCAGAGUCUUGCAAUCAGAAGCAACUCCCACCCUCAGCCCUCAAAAUGGGCCAUCUCAAAUCUUACUAGCCAAUGGCACUCCAAGGAGAGGGAGGAGCAGUGUCCCUGUCAGGAAUUACACAGAUAUUGUUUGCUCUGCAGACCUGAGCUGCCUCUUAAGGGUGCUGAUUACACAGCCUUCUUCAUCUCAGCCUAUGUCCAGAUGGAUCACAGAAUCCUCACCACAAGGGAGCUGGCCAGCCUGACCUGGAAGGACCAUCCAGAAACUCAACCAAGGCACCACAGACUGCUGGGGAAAGGUUCUUGCUGUUUUAAAUAACAUGUCCAGGCCGGGCACAAUGGCUCACGCCAGUAAUCCCAGCACUUUGGGAGGCCGAGGAAGGCGGAUCACCCGAGCUCAAGAGUUCAAGACCAGCCUGGCCAACAUGGUAAAUCCUGUCUCUACUAAAAAUACAAAAAAAAAAAAAAAAAUUAGCUGGGUUGGUGGCACACACCUGUAGUCCCAGCUACUCGGGAGGCUGAGGCAUGAGAAUCACUUGAACCUGGGUGGCAGAGGUUGCAGUGAGCCGAGAUCACACCACUGCACUCCAGCCUGGGUGACAGACCAAGACUCCGUCUUAAUAAAAAAUAAAUAAAUAAAUAACAAGUCCAUCAUCAGUUAGGCCCUGACCAAAUGGGCUAGGGGACAUGAGGACAGAUGGGGACGGGGAAAAAAAGGAGCAGAUACCUUAGCUCAGGUCCUCAUCCCCAGCUGGGUUCCCUUCUCCUCCAAGGAAUCCUUUCCAGGAGUGGAGAAAGAGGCAUCUCAGUCAGACAGCCAGGGUCCCUGGAGGCCAGACUUUUUCAUCCCCUUUCACAUGUGAAGAGGCUGAAUAAUCAUCUUAUCCCCCUGUAUUAGCUCAUUCUCACAUUGCUAUAAAGAACUACCUGAGACUGGGUAAUUUAUAAAGAAAAGAGAUAGAGCCAGGCAUGGUGGCUCAUGCCUGUAAUCAAAGCACUUUGGGAGGAUGAGGUGGGCAGAUCACCUGAGGUCAGGAGUUCGAGACCAGCCUGGCCAACAUGGUGAAACCCAGUCUCUACUAAAAAUACAAGAAUUAGCCAGAUGUGGUGGCCUGCGCCUGCAAUCCCAGCUACUCAGAAGGCUUAGGCAGGAGAAUCACUUGAACCUGGGAGGCAGAGGUUGCAGUGAGCCAAGAUCCCACCACUGCACUCCAGCCUGGGCAAGACAGUGAGACCAUAUCAAAAAAAAAAAAAAAAAAAAGAAAAAAAAGAAAAAGAAAAAGAAAAAGAAAAAAAGAAAGAAGAAAAGAAAAGAAAGGAAAGGAAAAAAGAAAAGAAAAGAGGUUUAAUUGACUCAUGGUUCCACAGGCUGUACAGGAAGCAUGGCUGGGGAGGCCUCAGGAAACUUACAAUCACGGCAGAAGAUGAAGGGGAAGCAGGCAUGUCUUACAUGGCUGGAGGAGGAAGGAGAGAGAGUGAAGGAGGAGGUGCUACACACUUUAAACAACCAGAUCUCAUGAGAACUCACUCACUAUCAAGAGAACAGCAAGGGGGAAAUCUGCCCCCAUGAUCCAAACCGUGUCACCUGCCUGUAUUAUCUCUGUGUGUGUGUGUGUGUGUGUGUGUGUGUGUGUGUGUGUGUGUGUGUGUGUGUGUGUGAUGGGGUCUCACUCUGUCACCCAGGCUAGAGGAGCAUGAUCAUAGCUCACUCACUGCAGCCUCAAAUUUGAGGGAUCCUCCUGGGCUCAAGCUAUCCUCCUGCCUUAGCC
rnacentral:lncRNA from 10 species